UUGCUUUGGCAGCACAUAUACUAAAAUUAGAAUUAUACAAAGAGGAUUUGCAUGGCCCCUUUGCAAGAAUGACAGGCAAAUUUGUGAAGCAUUCCAUAUUUUU